GCCGGUGUGUUGGAAUUGGCAGACGAGACGGACUCAAAAUCCGUUGGUGGUGACACCGUGUGGGUUCGACCCCCACCACCGGCACUA
rnacentral:tRNA from 1 species